GCCCCGAAGCUCCGGGAGCAGGCGGUGCGGCCGGUCUCCCGUCCACGCACUAACGCUAACCCUUUGUGCUUCCCGCGGGGCCGAGCGCCCGGCUGCUGAGUCCUGGGUUUAUCUCUGCCUGUGGCCGAGUGCUUUCCCGUUGACAGCUCCUGAGUGCCCGGCCGCGACGGAGCUCCGCGGGGAGGACGGCGUCUGGCCGCUGGGUUCCGUGUGCGAACCGACGGCAUCCAUUACCUCAGUUGCAGGCAUCUCUAGUCUGUUCCUUUAUUUUUUAUUUUAUCCUCACUUUCACGCCAAAUUCUGAAUAUUGUCUGUUCUUUUAAUUUCUGGAAAUAUUCUAACUUUAAAUAGUAACAUAUUCAUUCUAGGAAAUUUUCAGGUUUUUGUAGCAAAAUGAUCCAUACAUUGGACCGGACUUAAUAGCUUUAGAAGAAAACUUCUCGGAUUUCCCUGGUGGUACAAUAAAGCAAAUGAGACUAGAAGUAAUCAAGGGACUUUCCUAGUAGACCAGAUGAACAUCCAUCAUAACACAGAACUGUCAGUUUGAGUUUCUGUUCCAAGCAGACCUAAAAUUAACUUAAAAAAUUAACACAUGCAUAUAUCAAACUGUUAAAUGAAUACUAAGUAAAUAAGUCGCUGCUUCAGUUCAGUUCAGUUCAGUCACUGCUUAGCUCAUCUUAAAGUCUUUCUCUGCAUGAGCCCCACAUACCAUCUGUGGCUCCGCACACGAUGGCAGCAGGGCUCAUGGAACAGAAAGAUCUGCAAGCACGCAUCUGUGCCAGAAACAGGACAAGAGCACAGAAGAGAGCUACCAACCGACAGAGACCCCUGAGGAAGAGAGUGAGAAGAAGAGAAGACGGGACAGGCAAAGGCAGGGAUCCAAGAGGAGCAGCAGAAGAGUGGAUCCUGGAGGCAGGACACUCCCUGCCUGAAGAGAGCCUCGGGCUGCAGACUGAUGGUUCACCAUCAGCAUGACCCUGACCACAGAGGCAAAGGUGUGGACAAGCGCAUCCCAGCAAAACUCCUGAAUUCCAAGCAUAUUUAUAAAAUAUAAGCAUUUACUCACACCGCAGAAGGCGACACGACCACAACUUGAUGACAACUUCAGGUGCGGAACAUGGUCAGAGAGACAAGAGCUCGGCUCACCUCUCCCGGAGCGCCUCCAGCGAGCCCUCCGGGGACUUGGGCUUCAGGACCACCCCACUGGGACAGGGCUCCCACUUCCCGUCUCCAGGGUCAGUCUCCUCCGCUCUUUCUUUUGGUUUCUCAGUGCUCGGCUCCUCUCCCUUUUCUGGUUUUUUGAGAAGCUGAGAAAUUAUAAUGCUAGUAAAAUACCACUUUAAGAGUAUAUUAAAAAGAAAGUAUUUAAUAAAUAAUUUAAAAUAUA